rnacentral:rRNA from 1 species
AACGAACGCUGGCGGCAUGCCUAACACAUGCAAGUCGAACGAGACCUUCGGGUCUAGUGGCGCACGGGUUCGUAACGCGUGGGAACCUUCCCUUAGGUUCGGAAUAACUCCCCGACAGGGGUGCUAAUACCGGAUAAUGUCUUCUACCCAAUAAUUUAUUGCAUUGGAUGGGUCCGUAGUGGAAUAGGUUUUUUGUGUCGCUAAUAGAUGCAUACGCGCCGCAUUAGCUAGUUGGUAAGGUAACAGCCUACCAAGGCGACGAUGCGUAGCUGGCCUGAGAGGAUGAUCAGACACACUGGGACUGAGACACGGUACAGACUCCUACGGGAGGCAGCAGUGGGGAAUAUUGGAAAAUGGGCGAAAGCCUGAUGCAGCAAUGACGCGUGAGUGAUGAAGGCCUUAGGGUUGUAAAGCGCUUUUAACCGGGAUGAUAAUGACAGUACCGGGAGAAUAAGCCCCGGCUAACUCCGUG